GCCCUCGUAGCUCAAAGGAUAGAGCAAUUCCCUUCUAAGGAAGAGGUUGGGGGUUCGACUCCCUCCGGGGGCGCCA
rnacentral:tRNA from 7 species